rnacentral:tRNA from 1 species
GCGGGUGUGCCAGAGUGGUCAAAUGGGCAGGACUUAAGUGUAAGGCUUUAAAACCGAGCAUUGUCCCUUCGGGGAUACUUAGAAAUCCUGUGGCUUAGUGCCUUCGAAGGUUCGAAUCCUUUCACCCGCA